CCUACGGGAGGCAGCAGUAAGGAAUAUUGGACAAUGCUCGCAAGAGUGAUCCAGCCAUGCCGCGUGCAGGAAGAAUGCCCUAUGGGUAGUAAACUGCUUUUGAACUAGAGAAAACCCCAGUACGUGUACUGGGCUGAUAGUAUAGUUAGAAUAAGCAUCGGCUAACUUCGUGCCAGCAGCCGCGGUAAGACGAAGGAUGCAAGCGUUAUCCGGAUUCAUUGGGUUUAAACGGGAGCGUAGGUGGACUGAUAAGUCAGUGGUGAAAUCUCCGAGCUUAACUCGGAAAUUGCCAUUGAUACUGUUGGUCUUGAGUACAGUUGCUGUGGGCGGAAUAUGACAUGUAGUGGUGAAAUACAUAGAGAUGUCAUAGAACACCGAUUGCGAAGGCAGCUCACAAAGCUGUAACUGACACUGAGGCUCGAAAGUGCGGGGUAUCAAACAGGAUUAGAUACCCUGGUAGUCCGCACCGUAAACCGAUGAUUACUCGCUGCUAGGGGGUCAACCUUAGUUGGCUUAGCGAAAGCGAUAAGUAAUCCACCUGGGGAGUACGCCGGCAACGGUGAAACGUUAAUGAUUGAGNGNGNGNGNGNGNGNGCACGAGGNGAG
rnacentral:rRNA from 1 species